rnacentral:rRNA from 1 species
UACGUAGGGUGCGAGCGUUGUCCGGAAUUAUUGGGCGUAAAGGGCUCGUAGGCGGUCUGUCGCGUCGGGAGUGAAAACUCAGGGCUUAACCCUGAGCCUGCUUCCGAUACGGGCAGACUAGAGGUAUGCAGGGGAGAACGGAAUUCCUGGUGUAGCGGUGAAAUGCGUAGAGAUCGGGCGGAACACCAGCGGCGAAGGCGGCAUCCUGGCCCUAUCCCGACGCUGAGGCGCGAGAGCGUGGGGAGCAAACCGG